UACGUAGGGACCGAGCGUUGUCCGGAAUCAUUGGGCGUAAAGAGCGUGUAGGCGGCCACUUAAGUCCUGCGUGAAAUCUUGCGGCUCAACCGCAAGCGGUCGUGGGAAACUGGGUGGCUAGAGUGCGGGAGAGGAGAGUGGAAUUCCUGGUGUAGCGGUGGAAUGCGCAGAUAUCAGGAAGAACACCCGUGGCGAAGGCGGUUCUCUGGGCAUUACCUGACGCUGAGGAGCGAAAGUGUGGGGAGCGAACAGG
rnacentral:rRNA from 1 species